UACAGAGGUCUCAAGCGUUGUUCGGAUUCAUUGGGCGUAAAGGGUGCGUAGGCGGCGCGGUAAGUCGGGUGUGAAAUCUCGGAGCUUAACUCCGAAACUGCAUUCGAUACUGCCGUGCUUGAGGACUGGAGAGGAGACUGGAAUUUACGGUGUAGCGGUGAAAUGCGUAGAUAUCGUAAGGAAGACCAGUGGCGAAGGCGGGUCUCUGGACAGUUCCUGACGCUGAGGCACGAAGGUCAGGGGAGCAAAACGG
rnacentral:rRNA from 1 species